CCAGCUUCUCCGCACUCCGCACGUACCAUGACUUUUAAAAAUAAAUAAGUCAUCUCAGAAAACUAAAGCCUUCGUCUUCUUCCAUAACCAACCUGAUGGAGGCGGACAAACCCUAGAUGAGUCCCGUAGGUUCCCGUCCUGGCGGCUGGCGCCCCUUGCCGGCAAACUCUCCCCUUCUGCCCGUGAGUUCCAUCCUCCUCUUUCCGAAGUUCUUUGGAAUUACCGGAUCUAUUCUCUGUCAUACCCCUGGCGGCACCCUGCUCCGAGAUCGAUCCAUCAGGACGGCCUGAGCGACCUAUUCCCUGCGGCUGGUCUCCUGUGCAACAACCCAAUCCAGCCAUCCAGGCCAUCCACGAAGAUCUGUAAUUUAUGUGAUUGGGUUGUCAUGGCAAUUGUUGUUGAGAUAAGAUAAUCCAGCGCUGAAUUGACAAUCACGAGACAGGAGAAAAGCAAGUAAAUUUUUAUUUACCAUUGCCUCGCUUGAAUUGAUUGUGCCUGUUCAGGCUUUUUUCAGUUAAUUGUGAUCUUCAGGUCACUCGGCUGCAGGACAGCCAUGCCACAUUCAACAGGUGAUCGACCAGUUCAUCUAUGAAAACUGAGAAGAACUUCCAUGGGAGAAUUUGCAAGGAGCACAAGGAAUGGCCUUAAGGAAAAGCUAUGAAAAGAUACAAGAGCAGAGCAGAGCAGAGAAGAUUGGGGGAGCAGAUCCGCGUGUAGUAUAGGUUUCAACUAGUUAGCAUUACGUUAUAAUUUUUCCAGUGACCUGUGCAAUGUUUUAUGGAUCUUGUACCUUUCAGUUGUAAAGAUUGUUUUUUUAUAAUAUAAUUUCUUAUUCACCACCGUGUUA